rnacentral:piRNA from 1 species
UGGUUGCUGCUUUGUCCUAUUGACAG